AAUGAAUUGCCUGAAAAAGGAUUACCUUGAUAGGGUAAAUCAUGAAAUUUUAAUAAUUUCAUUCAUUA
rnacentral:tRNA from 1 species